CCUACGGGGGGCAGCAGUGAGGAAUAUUGGUCAAUGGUCGGGAGACUGAACCAGCCAAGCCGCGUGAGGGAUGAAGGUACAGAGUAUCGUAAACCUCUUUUGUCAGGGAACAAAGGCGGGGACGUGUCCCCGGAUGAGUGUACCUGAAGAAAAAGCAUCGGCUAACUCCGUGCCAGCAGCCGCGGUAAUACGGAGGAUGCGAGCGUUAUCCGGAUUUAUUGGGUUUAAAGGGUGCGCAGGCGGUUUGUUAAGUCAGCGGUAAAAGCCCGGGGCUCAACCCCGGCCCGCCGUUGAAACUGGCAGUCUCGAGUUGGAGAGAGGUAUGCGGAAUGCGCGGUGUAGCGGUGAAAUGCAUAGAUAUCGCGCAGAACUUCGAUUGCGAAGGCAGCAUGCCGGCUCCACACUGACGCUGAGGCACGAAAGCGUGGGUAUCGAACAGGAUUAGAUACCCGAGUAGUC
rnacentral:rRNA from 1 species